rnacentral:rRNA from 1 species
CCUGGCUUAGGAGUGAACGCUAGCGGCAGGCUUAACACAUGCAAGUCGAGGGGCAUCGGGAGUAGCAAUACGUUGCCGGCGACCGGCGCAAGGGUGCGUAACGCGUGAGCAACAUGCCCGUAUCAGGGGGAUAAUCCAUGGAAACGUGGUCUAAUACCCCAUAGUAAUUAUGUAAGGCAUUCUUAUAUAAUUUAAAGCUUUGGUGGAUACGGAUUGGCUCGCGUGACAUUAGCUAGAUGGUAAGGUAACGGCUUACCAUGGCUACGAUGUCUAGGGGUUCUGAGAGGAAGGUCCCCCCACACUCGGAACUGAGACACGGUCCAGACUCCUACGGGAGGCAGCAGUGAGGAAUAUUGGACAAUGGAUGGAAAUCUGAUCCAGCCAUGCCGCGUGCAGGAAAGACGGCCCUAUGGGUUGUAAACUGCUUUUUGUAUGGGAGCAAUAAGGGCUACGCGUAGUCCGUAUGAGAGUACCAUACGAAUAAGCACCGGCUAACUCCGUGCCAGCAGCAGC